CACGCCGUAAACGAUGUCAACUAGCCGUUGGGAGCCUUGAGCUCUUAGUGGCGCAGCUAACGCAUUAAGUUGACCGCCUGGGGAGNCAACGCGAAGAACCUUACCAGGCCUUGACAUCCAAUGAACUUUCUAGAGAUAGAUUGGUGCCUUCGGGAACAUUGAGACAGGUGC
rnacentral:rRNA from 1 species